ACAGUAGGCCGGUUUGCCGCUGGCUGCCGUAAGGCGGAAAGAGGAAAGUCCGGGCAACACAGAGCAUCGUACUUCUUAAUGGGAAGCUGCUUGUGAGGGCAGAGUUGAAGGUAACAGAGAAUAACCGCCCCUUUGGGGUAAGGGUGAAAAGGCGGAGUAAGAGCCCACCGCCCGUGCAGCAAUGUAUCGGGGCCGUACCACUUGCGAGUUGUAAGACCAUGUAUACCGGCGCAUGUAGGGCUGCUCGCCCGAUGCCGGGGGGUAGGUCGCUAGAGCCUGCCGGUGACGGCCGGCGUAGAUAAAUGGCAGACACCUUGCUUACGCGAGGAACAGAACCCGGCUUACAGGCCUGCUGUAUUU
rnacentral:RNase_P_RNA from 1 species